rnacentral:lncRNA from 1 species
UUUUUUUUUUAUCUUCUUUUUAUGGCCGCACCUGUGGCAUAUGGAAGUUCCCAGGCUAGGGGUCGAAUUGGAGCUGCAGCUGUGACCUAUGCCACAGCAACACUGGAUCUGAGCCACAUGCGACCUACCUGGCAGCUUGCCACAACACCAGAUCCUUAACCUACUAAGUGAGGCCAGGGAUUGAAUCCAAAUCCUCACUAUGUCGGAUUCUUAACCCAUAGAACCACAACAGGAACUCCAAAUUUAUUAUUAACAUACUUAAAGGUAUACUAUGACUUCAACAUGUCAAAACACAUUUUUUUACACCAUUAACAAAUAUAUCAGAAGCUCUGGUAUGUAGCACCAGCUCUCCUUUCUCCAAUGAAAAGAGACCAAAAGGUGCAUAAAAAUGUGAAUUAGGGAAAAAAGUCAUUUCAAAAAAAGAAACAAGAAAAACAAGUAUGUCUGAACAUAAAGUGGGAUAUAGGAGGGUAAAUUAGCUUCUUAGAGUAUAUCCACACUGGGAAAUGGUGCAAAACUAGACCACAAAGGAGGGUCUUGGUAGAAGGUGUAAAUGGUAUAGAGAAAUAUGGAGCCUGAGUCCUGAAAAUGGGAAAGAGGUUGAAAUCUACCCUGCACCAGGAAAAUCUGAUACCUACGUGUUUGGACGGCCCGGGCUCCUACACGAAGUCCCAAUUCCAGCCAGACAGAUCGACCUCCCAACAUACCCACUGCUCCUCUGGGAAGUCUUUCCUUGUCACCCAGGCUGAAAAGUGGUCUCCCCCUCCUCUGAGCUCCUAUAAUCACAGAAGUAUGGGUUAAUCCCACCUCUGAGAAUUUACACAGCUUGCACAUUUUAAUCCAUCUCCUCUACGAGCAGGACCUUACAAGAAGGCAUUGUACCAAAAACGCUCUAAAAGAGCAGUUCCCAUUGUGGCACAGUGAAAACAAAUUCAACUAGUAUCCAUGAGGAUGCAGGUUCGAUCCCUGGCCUCACUCGGUGGGUUAAGGAUCCGGUAUUGCCGUGAGCUGUGGUGUAGGUCACAGACCAGAAGCUACAGCUCCAAUUCGACCCCUAGCCUGGGAACCUCCAUAAGCUAUCAGUGUGGCCCUAAAAAGCCAAAAAAGGCGGGGCGGCGGCAGCGGACUAAAACAUGUAAACAAAGAGCAUUUGGUUCAGGUUUCACGCAAAUAUGGCUGUAUCUGCGCUGUUCCCUAUGCCCGAAUGAUAAACUCAGUUCAAUGUUAAACUGCUUUCCCAGUUUUCUCCUUUUACAAGUCAUCCUUCGUUCUCUCCUAGGUUUUUUGUUGUUGUUUUGUUUUGUUUCUUGUCUUUUGUCUUUUUAGGGCCACACCCGUGGCAUAUGGAGGUUCCCAGGCUAGGGGUCAAAUAGGGGCUGUAGCUUCUGGCCUACACCACAGCUACAGCAAUGUGGGAUCCAAGCCGCGUCUGUGACCUACGCCAUAGCUCAUGGCUACUUUGGAUCCUCAACCCACUGAGUGAGGCCUGGGAUCAAACCUGCAACCUCAUGGCUACUAGCUGGGUUCACUAACCACUGAGCCAUGAUGGGAACUCCUCUCCUAGGUUUUUAGAAAAGUCUUCUUUUUCUAUUAUGUUAUUAAGUUACUGUUGUAAGUUACCCUAAAUUCUUUGUAGAAUGAAAACACCAAAGAUUAUACAAAUUUGGCAAUACAACAUUCCUAAUAAGAGUCUUAAAAGCAUGGCAUAUAAGACUGGAAAUGGCAGAGCCAUUCACUUGAAAGAAAGAUCCAUAUUACUACAUACAGAAUGAAUAAACAAGGUCCUACUGCACAGCACAAGGUAUUAUACUCAAUAUUCUAUGAUAAACCAUAAUGGAAAAGAAUAUUUUAUAAAGAAUGUGUGUGUAUAUACAUAUGGCUGAAUCCCUCUGCUGUGCACAGAAUUUAACACAACAUUGUAAAUCAACUAUACUUCAAUUUAAAAAAAAGAUCCAUAGGCAUUCCUAUUACGAACCCAACAAGUAUCCAUGAGGAUGCAGGUUCAAUCCCUGGCCUCGAUUAGUGAGUUAAGAUCUGGCGCUGCCAUGAACUGUGGCGGAGAGGCAGCUGCAGCUCUGAUUUGACCUCCAGCCUGGGAACUCCCAUAUGCCGCAGGUACAGCCUUAAAAAGGCACACACAAAAAAAAACAGUACAGGGAGCGGGAGGGAGUGGGAUGGAUGGGGUGCUUGGGGUUAAUAGAUGCAGACUGUUGCCUUUGGAAUGGAUUAGCAAUGAGAUCCUGCUGUGUAGCACUGGGAACUAUGUCUGGUCACUUAUGAUGGUGCAUGAUAAUGUGAGAAAAAAGAAUGUAUACAUGUAUGUGUGACUGGGUCACCAUGCUGUACAGUAGAAAACUGACAGAAGACUGUAAACCAGCUAUAAUGGAAAAGAUAAAAAUCAUAAAAAAUAAUAAUAGCAGCCCUGGAAUUAAACGGAAACUUAAAAACAACAACAACAAAAAAAACAGUACAGGGGAUUAUUUACAGCUGUAUGACCUCUGUUCACCUUUCUGACCCUCAUCAUAACAGGGGGGAGUAAUACUUACCCUAAAGAGCUCUUUUGGAGAUGAUAUAAAAUAAAAAUAUAUGCAAAUCAUCUAGCAGGUCCUCAAUAAAUGGUAUCAGCUGAUUCAGACCUCGGUCUACUAUUCAGAUGGCCUGCUUCAAAGUGAGAGUAUUUUCUACCACAGAAUGAAGACUAUAAUGCUGGACUUUCUCCAUUUGAUUUCUCCCUUAAUCUGAUUUCUGACUUUAAAGCUCCUUAAAAAUGAAAGGUUACCAACUAGCAGGAUGGUUCUGCCAAAAUGUGAGCAAAACAUUGCCUUGGCACCACUCAAGCACAUUUGCCAAGGCAUUUUUUAAUUCACAAGGGACCCAAGGAAGGGCCAUUUACUGAGCUAUUCAAUGGGGCGUGGACAUACUAUACAUUACACUCACAACUGGAAUCCCCAAUGCCACUACCGCUACUCUCUAUAGCUUUCAUUAUUUAAUACUGAUUAAAUGGAUUGGUGAAAUCAAAGAAACUAUGCCAAAACUCGAAGGUGGCUUCUGAAGCAAUUCCAGACUUGUCAGGUAUUUUACUUCAUGUUCAUCUCUAUUAUUCACCUAAGUCAGACCCCACAAACAUUCCUACUAUAUGCUCUGGAAGGCUCAGUCACAUUUUUUUUUCCAUCAUAACUCAACCAACAAUUUCAGCCCUCUCAUUUGUUAACUGUAUGACCUAAUCUCUGAAGACAACACUACUUAGGUAGUCCUAUUAGCUCAGCAAGGUUUAGAGAUAAUUUGUGUAGCAUGCCUACACAAUCAAUGACUGGCCUAUAGAAAGUAUGCAAUAAAUUGUAGCUGUUGGAGUUUCUGCCAUGGCUCAGUGGUUAACGAACCCAACUAGCAUCCAUGACGACGCAGGUUCGAUCCCCGGCCUUGCUCAGUGGGUUAAGGACCCAGUGUUGCUGUGAGCUGUGGUGUAGGUCAGAUCUGGCGUUGCUGCAGCUCCGAUUAGACCCCUAGCCUGAGAACCUCCAUGUGCUGCGGAUGUGGCCCGAAAAAGACAAAAACAAAAAAAAACAAAAAAACUACAGCUGUUACUGUCAUCAUUAAUAAGUAUUCAUGAAUGCCCACUAUUCUGCCAACAUUGUCCUGAGCACUAGUGGGCAACAAUAGGCAUAGACGCAGUUCCACUUUAGAAGGUACACAAUCUAGUUGAGAGAAAACAACUGUUAAAUGGUAAACUGUGUGGCAAAGACUAAGUGCUGAAGGCGACCAGAAAGAUACUCCACUAACUUGCAAAUACUUUUUGAAUCAAGGCAGAAAUUAUUAUUCUCAUUUUAUAAAAAAAAGAAAAUGAUGAGUUCCCGUCUUGGCGCAGUGGUUAACGAAUCCGACUAGGAACCAUGAGGUUGCGGGUUCGAUCCCUGCCCUUGCUCAGUGGGUUGGCGAUCCGGCAUUGCUGUGAGCUGUGGUGUAGGUUGCAGACGCGGCUCAGAUCCCAUGUUGCUGUGGCUGUGGUGUAGGCCAGUGGCUACAGCUCCGAUUGGACCCCUAGCCUGGGAACCUCCAUAUGCCAUGGGAGUGGCCCAAGAAAUAGCAAAAAGACAAAAAAAAAGAAAAUGAGACUGAGAAAACAUUCUUGUUCAUGUUCACAGAGAUCAUUUAUGAACUCAACAAAUUUUAGGCCAUGAAUUACAGUACAGAAGAGUAUAAAUAGAUCAGUUAAAACUCUUUCCAUUGUAAAUGACAGAAAAUUUAAUCAAAAUUAGUUUAAGCAGAAAGUCUAAUAACUGGCUUAAUUAACUGAAGCCCAGGAUUAGGGACGACUAGGGAAGGGCUCUAAGUCAUCACUUCCACCUCUUUAGCCUUGCUUCCUCAACAGUGGUUCUAUCAUGAACAGUCUCCUCUGAUGGUGGCAAAACAGCUUAGUACCUUCUAGUCUUUCCAGAAGCUAACAUCCUUCUGGUCCAGCAGGACUGAGAGGGUCUUCUAUAGCUGCCCCCAUAAAAGUCUUGAACAUCCAGUUUAGAGCAGCUUAGAACAUAUGGUUACCCCUAAACCAAUCAAUGGGCUAGAGGAAUGUGGUGUGCUGGUUAGCUUGGGCCUCGUUCAGGUACACCAAAGCUAAGAAGUUCCUACCCCAACCACAAGUAAGGAGGUGUGGUUCCUAAAACCAACAUCUGAUGCCACUACUGAGAUAAGGGCGGAAGCUAAAGAAGCAAACUAUACACGUCCACCACAAGGAACACUGUGAUUGCACCCUCACGGAAUUUAGAAUUUAGGGCAAUAGUCCACAAGUCCAAAUGUCUGGUAGAAAAAAGGGUUAGAGAUACGGUUUCAAUGGAAAAGAAACAUAACUGCAGUACCAAGUGGUAAGGGCUACAGUGGCUAAAUGUCACAGCAUCCAGGAACAAAAAGUACGAAGGCCACCAGGGGACUCAGGGACGUCUUCAGAGACAUGGUACUAACCAAACUUAGUCUAGGUCAGGGAGCAAAUCACUCAGCUACAACAUCAGAACAAAGCUUUCCUGAUUCCCUGUCAAGAGCUCCUUCCAUUACUAGGUCCUAACAGUAGGAAAGAAAGAUAGGUACUGAGGCAUCAAUGGAAGUGACUGCCACCGAAACUCAAACUAGCCGGCAAAACCGCUCAGCACUUACCAACACUGCAAAGGCCUUGUCCACAUAAGCAACAGAACCACAAAGACCCUGUCAACCUUAAAGAAAGAUGUCUGGGCUAAAUACAGUCAUGGUUCAAACAUACAUUCUUUCUUCAUGAGGCUUUUAUGGGGGGAAAAACAACAUAAAGAAAGGGAAAGCCCUUGAUCAAAUCGUAAAGCAUCCUGUAAACAUCAGUUAUUAUGUUUUUUAAUUUUUUGGGAAAGACGUUUCAAAGUAUUCUAUGACUUCUAUAAAGAGGAGAAUCCUUAAUGCUUCGAAACAUAGGGACUACAUUUCCUCUGCACUUGAGAUCAAAACUGUUUCCAGGAAAAGCUUAUAAUAACAAUACCACAUUAAACAUUGGUGAUUUAAGAGCUGGUAUGCAAUUAAGAGGACUCCACUGUUUCACCAGGCUCUAGUGGCAUCCAAUUAAGAAAUGAUAUGAGAGAGGAGCUCUUAAUUACAGGGGAAAACUUCCACAAGCCAGUGACAGGUGUGCAGGGCUCAAGCUGAGAUCAAAGCAGUUGACCACAGCAUUGAUUUCUCCCUUUCCUUCUUCCCAAAGACACUUAAGUUUGCAUGCAAUAGUUGAAAAAUAAACUAGACCAAAUGACUACCAUAUUUCAAGCUUUAUUACCCUUUAUCAUGUUAACAUCCACCAACCCAGUUUUAAAGGAUUAACACCAAAACAGAUGGUUUAAAUCCACAAUAAGUAAGCUUCAGUCAUCUGAAAUGAUAAUGACCAAGGUGAAUUUAUACUCAUCGCUAAGACGUUAUCAUGUUUCCCUAGACCAUACUAAUUGCAAAUUGAAAUUAUUUCUUUUUCAUUCACUUUGUAAAUUAUCUUAAGAAUAAAACCAUAUCAGAGUUCCCCGAUGGCCCAGAGGUUAAGAAUUCAGUGCUAUCACUGCUGUGGCACAGAGUAGAUCCCUGGCCCCAGAAUUUCUUUAUGCCACAGGUCCAAAAAAAAGAAAGCCACAUUUAAGGG